rnacentral:rRNA from 1 species
GUGGGGAAUAUUGGACAAUGGGCGAAAGCCUGAUCCAGCCAUGCCGCGUGUGUGAAGAAGGUCUUCGGAUUGUAAAGCACUUUAAGUUGGGAGGAAGGGCAGUAAGUUAAUACCUUGCUGUUUUGACGUUACAGACAGAAUAAGCACCGGCUAACUUCGUGCCAGCAGCCGCGGUAAUAUGAAGGGUGCAAGCGUUAAUCGGAAUUACUGGGCGUAAAGCGCGCGUAGGUGGUUUUGUAAGUUGGAGGUGAAAUCCCCGGGCUCAACCUGGGAACUGCCUCUAAGACUGCAUGACUAGAGUACGGUAGAGGGUAGUGGAAUUUCCUGUGUAGCGGUGAAAUGCGUAGAUAUAGGAAGGAACACCAGUGGCGAAGGCGACUACCUGGACUGAUACUGACACUGAGGUGCGAAAGCGUGGGGAGCAAACAGGAUUAGAAACCCGUGUAGUCC